AACAAAUAUUUUUGUCUAAUAAGUCAGUUUACAUUUUUGUUGAUAAUGACUUGCAAAUCUUGGAAUGUUGAAAAUGUUCUCUGCGUUGA